UUCAGAGCCAGCUGAUAACAGCAGCUACCGUUAGCAACAGUUAGCAGCUAGCACCGCUGGAGUCGCCCCCUGUUGGCUGCUGGAGAGAACGCAGGUUCUUCAGCACCGGCUUCACUUUUCAGAUCCAGAGGUUCCUGCUCUCGGUGUGCUCACACUGUGGACCCGAGCAGAACAACGCCCCGGGCAAAAAGGAAAAGAUGCAUCACUAAUUCACAAUCUACUUAAACGCACACCUGCUGACGUACACACUCCUCAUCUGUUCUCCCUUUGCAUGCCACAUGUGCACCCCUCCCUCCUCCUCUGCUCCCUAACUUUCUUAUCUCCUUUUCUGUCUUCUCACAGAAGUUGUAGGGCAG